UGGGACAAGCCCUGGAAACGGGGUCUAAUACCGGAUAUCACUCCCGCAGGCAUCUGUGGGGGUCGAAAGCUCCGGCGGUGAAGGAUGAGCCCGCGGCCUAUCAGCUUGUUGGUGAGGUAAUGGCUCACCAAGGCGACGACGGGUAGCCGGCCUGAGAGGGCGACCGGCCACACUGGGACUGAGACACGGCCCAGACUCCUACGGGAGGCAGCAGUGGGGAAUAUUGCACAAUGGGCGAAAGCCUGAUGCAGCGACGCCGCGUGAGGGAUGACGGCCUUCGGGUUGUAAACCUCUUUCAGCAGGGAAGAAGCGAAAGUGACGGUACCUGCAGAAGAAGCGCCGGCUAACUACGUGCCAGCAGCCGCGGUAAUACGUAGGGCGCAAGCGUUGUCCGGAAUUAUUGGGCGUAAAGAGCUCGUAGGCGGCUUGUCACGUCGGGUGUGAAAGCCCGGGGCUUAACCCCGGGUCUGCAUUCGAUACGGGCUAGCUAGAGUGUGGUAGGGGAGAUCGGAAUUCCUGGUGUAGCGGUGAAAUGCGCAGAUAUCAGGAGGAACACCGGUGGCGAAGGCGGAUCUCUGGGCCAUUACUGACGCUGAGGAGCGAAAGCGUGGGGAGCGAACAGGAUUAGAUACCCUGGUAGUCCACGCCGUAAACGGUGGGAACUAGGUGUUGGCGACAUUCCACGUCGUCGGUGCCGCAGCUAACGCAUUAAGUUCCCCGCCUGGGGAGUACGGCCGCAAGGCUAAAACUC
rnacentral:rRNA from 1 species